rnacentral:tRNA from 1 species
GGAUUGUGGCUCAGAGGUAGAGCGCUCGCCUACCGCGUGUGAGACAUUGGAUUCGACCCCCAGCACCA